AUGUCAUUCUGGUUUUUUUCUGUCUCCAGCAGCAAGAUAACCCUAAGCCGAAGUAUUAACUCUAAUUGUUCAGAUAGACAAAAUAGUCCAGACACAUUGACGAAUGAUCCCACUCCCUCCUCUGCACCAGUCUUGCCUGCUAUCUGCACCAUGCACAAGAUGUGCUUUGGACCCUGGCCUUUUUGCCAUGGUAGAUUAAAUUAAAUUGGAACAAUACAUAGGUGAAUUUAGACAAAAAAAGGAAGGAUUGUUACACAUGUGACAUUGCCUUUCAAAGUACUUGAUGCCUGAUUAGCUGAGACCUCUUCUACACAACAGCCUGAAUAUCUGCUGAAUUACUUUGAGAAGCCAUGACUCAGGUUGUAAGUGGUGCACACACAGAAAAUUUACCCUAUGUGACAUCGAAGGGUGCGGCUUGGAACAUCUGUCAUUUUCUUUUCCUUCCCUCAUAAAAAUCUGUCAGGCAGUUUCAUCUGCAGUGCAAAGGGCACUCAGCAAAGGGCACUCAGCUGCUAUUGACUGGGAGAGAAGGUGCCCAUCAUUAUGAUAGAAAGUUAUGCCAACUGGCACUCAUGCUAACAUCUCAUACAAAAGGAGAGACUGUUUAUAAGCAGGAUGGAGUGUAAAACAGGACAGUCAUUUUGUGAUUGAAGGAGUGCCAGAAAAUAAUAAUACUUUUUAAAAAGGGAACCCUGUUACAGUUAUAUUUUUAUCAUCUGAGUGCAGAACUGAGAGAUCAGCUGGCAUGAUGUCAGGUAUCAACUUGUAGCAUACACAGCUCUUUGCAUCUGUACAUAUUCUGUGUAGAUGGUAAAAAAAUGGUCAUAAUUGAUAAUGUGUAUUUUUAUAUCAAAGUAAUUUUGUACUAGUGCCAAAGACUUCUCAAUAAGUCAGUUCAGAAAAUUCCUCCUGAGCACAACUGGUUCCUCUGCUUAAGUAUGGUCUUCACAGUCAUAUAACGGGCAGAAUGACCAUGAGAACUGCUAAAUGCUUCUAGAAAGAGAGACUGAAGAAUGAAAUAACAUUUCCAAGGUUGCACUGUAUUAAAAGAGCUGGGGGGUAAGAUUUGCUGAUUAUCUGCCCCCAGACAGAUCCAUUAAUCCUCUACCUCAAUAACUAUCGAGCACACUCUAAAUUUACAAUAGAACAAAUUACUUUUGGGAGGAAUAUUGACUUCAAGGGAGAGAAAAGUAGGGUGAAAGAAAAAAUAAUAAAUCUUGUGCAAUAUUAGGGGCUUGUAUUCUG
rnacentral:lncRNA from 1 species